UCCGGUGGGUAGAGUCGGGCGUCGGUCGGACCGACCCGAAGAUAAGUCGGCGUACUUGGGUCAGUCGGUAUAUCCCAACAAGGACCAUGCAAUGGCUUCUUUCCUAUCUUGUGAUGGAGCUCGUCCGUUGUAGAAGUUCAUCUGGAAUCCAAUUAUGUUGUAGAAGUUCGGACGGAGUCCAGUUCUUGUAGGAGUCCGGAAGGAGGUCGUUUACGGUAGAAGCUCGGAUGGAGGUCGGUUGCCGUGGAAGUCUGGAUGGAGACCGCUUAUUGUAGAAACUCGGAUGGAGGUCGAUUGCCGUGGAAGCCCGGAUGGAGAUCGCUUAUUGUAGAAGCUCGGAUGGAGGCCGCUUGCCGUGGAAGCCCGGAUGGAGACCACUUAUUGUAGAAGCUCGGAUGGAGGCUGGUUGUCGUGGAAGUCCAGA
rnacentral:lncRNA from 1 species